rnacentral:rRNA from 1 species
GAUCCUGGCUCAGGAUGAACGCUGGCGGCGUGCCUAAUACAUGCAAGUCGAGCGAACAGAUGAGGAGCUUGCUCCUCUGACGUUAGCGGCGGACGGGUGAGUAACACGUGGAUAACCUACCUAUAAGACUGGGAUAACUUCGGGAAACCGGAGCUAAUACCGGAUAAUAUAUUGAACCGCAUGGUUCAAUAGUGAAAGACGGUUUUGCUGUCACUUAUAGAUGGAUCCGCGCCGCAUUAG